UUUUUCUUUUUUUUACAGAUUACAAAAACAGGUUUUAGAAAAGACUCAUACAGAUAGCCAUAUGCAAUGGAAUAUUACUCAGCCAUGAAAAAUAAUGAAAUGACAUUUGCAGCAACAUGGAUGGACUUUCACAUUAAGUGAAGUAAGUCAGAAAGAGAAAUAUAGAUACCAUAUGAUAUCACUUACAUGUGGAAUCUAAAAAUAUAUUUUUAAAAUGAUACAAAUGAACUUAUUUACGAAUCUGAAACAGACUCACAGACAUAGAAAAUAAACUUAUGGUUACCAAAGGGAAUACUGGGGGCGGAGGGGGGGGACGUAAAUUAGGAGUUUGGGAUUAAAAGACACACAACUGGAGUUCCCACUGUGGUUCAGUGAGUUAAGAAUCUGACUGGUAUCCAUGAGGAUGCAGGCUGGAUCCCUGGCCUCCCUCAUGGGCUAAGGAUCUGGCAUUGCAAUGAGCUGUGGCAUAGGUUGCAGAUGUGGCUUGGAUCCCACAUUGCUGUGGCUAUGGCGCAUAGGCCGGCAGCUGCAGCUCUGAUUUGACCCCUAGCCUAGGAAUCUCCAUGUAUCAUGGGUGCAUCCCCCCCCAAAAAAGAGGAAAAAAUUUUUUAAAAAUGGUUUAAAAAAAAAAAGACUCAAAUAAUCCCAAAGCCAUUAAUCCCAAGGCCACCAGCAUAUAAGUGGCCAAGCUGGGACUGGACCCCACAGCUCUGCCCCCCAAACCUCUGCUCCUUCUGCCAGCCCUCACACAGCCAAAAGGCAGAAGGGGAAGUGGACUCCAGGUGGCCCCAGUGGGCAGGACAGGGACAGGGGUCACAGGUGGGGAGAAAACCUUUCUAAUAACCAGAACUACCUGAUCAAAGGUGGCCAGCCUCAGGAGGAGAGGAGCUCAUACAAGAGCUGGCUCAUGGGGACAGAUGGGGUCCUGGAGAUUCCCAUCACUCUGAGGGGCUGUGACACAUGGAAGCAGCACAGGAGCCUGCCAGGGUCUUCCCUCGAGUUUGGGAAGAGUGAGAAAACAGUCUCUCGGAAGCUGCCGAUAAUGAAUCAAUCAAUCACUCAAGCGGCUUGGGACCCUAAUUCCCAGUGCUAAGCCCUUGUCAUGGGACCGGAGCCUGGCCCCCAAGCUGCUGACCACUGUCAGGAGAAACAGGCUCCCGCACAGGGAAACACACACACCAGACUCAGACGAGAGAGGGUGUUUGCUGCAGAAACAAGGGCUAAUGUAUGCGCCACCUCCCAGGUCCCUAAGGAAUCAAAAGAGAGGACAAUGGGACCUGGAGGAUCCAGGGAGAGCACCGCGUUAGAAUGGUGGUCAUGGUCACAGUAUUAUUCACAGCUGGCUUCUCCUGAGCAGUUACUAUGUGCUGAAGGUUUUGCACGCGCUGUAUGAUUUCGCCAUCAGGGCAACCCUGUGAGGCAGGUGCUCUUACGCCCUUUUUACAGACAAGGAGGCAGGCCCAGAGAGGGGGCGUAACUCUCCCACAGUUGCACAGCUAACAUGCGGCAGAGCCAGGACACAAGCCCUGAUCUGUCAGCCUCCAGACCCCAAGUAGAACUGAGAUGCUGGUGCUUCUGGCAUCUCUGCCCUGCUACAGAAAUAGCUCCAAGAAGGAAUGCAGUCAUUUUCUAUUGCUGCCGUAACAAAUUACCAAAACUUAACCACAUGUGUUUAUGACAUAACUGCUCUUCUGGAGGUCAGAGGUGUGAACUACAACCAAGGUACCAGCAGGGCUGCCCUCCUUUCCGGAGGUUCCAGGGGAGAAUUCCCUUCUUUGCCUCUUCCAGCUUCUGGGGGCUGUCCUCCAACCUUGGCACGUGGCCCCUUCCUUCCAUUUCAAAGCCAGCAUUGCCAUGCCUCUCUGUCACAUCUCUCUCUGACCACAGCCAGGAAAGAGUCUCUGAGUUUAAAGAUCCAUGUGAGGCGUUUCCGUCGUGGUGCAGUGGUUAACAAACCCAACUAGCAUUCAUGAGGACAGGGGUUCGAUCCUUGGCCUCGCCCACUGUACUAAGGAUCUGGUGUGGCCUUGAGCUGUGGGGUAAGUUGCAGGUGCGGCUCGGAUCCUGCAUUGCUGUGGCUGUGGUGUAGGCCAGCGGCUACAGCUCCACUUCGACCCCUAUCCUGGGAACCGCCAUACGCUGUAGGUGCAGCCCUAAAAAGACUAAAUAAAUAAAUAAAAAUAAAUUUCCCUAACUGCCUACAAAAGUUUGUUUUAAUAAUUGGUCUGUCUGAAUCAGGACACAAAAAAGACCCUCAUGUCGUACUGGGUUGAUAUGCGUCCUAAAUCUCUCUCAACCUAUAACAAUUUCCAGAAGAUACACGCUUCCCUCUCCACUCUUUUAUACCUUUAUUCCUCAGUCGUGUAAAUGAAUGAUCUACAUAAAAGUUAAAUUCAGGAACUUCUCUUGUGGUACCGAAGGUUAAGGAUCCAGCGUCAUCACUGCAGUGGCUUUGGGUCAAUGCUGUGGCACAGGUUCAAUCCCUGGCCUGGAAACUUCCAUGCGCCAUAAGGAAUGUCCCCCCAAAAAAGUUAAAUCCAGGAGAAAAUACAAAUCUAAUGCUUCCUGGGGACUUAGCCUCCCCAAGGAUGCCAGGUGAGGAAGGGCAGCCCAAGGAGGGGACGAGGGAGCAGAGAGGAUGCUGGGGGCAGCAGGAGACCCCGCCAAAGCCCUUGGGGGGAGUGUGGAGUCAGGGAGCCCAGGGGUCCGGCAUCCUGGGGGCUGUCCUGGCCUGCUUGGCAGAGGUGGAUGGAAGGGUUGUGGGGACACCAGUGACAGGUUGGCCUGGAGCAGCCUGAGGAAAGUCCCUAAAGCUGAGGAUGAUGCAACCAUUCUAAAUGUGCAGCCGGCCGAGAAACCACAGGGAACCCACCACCCACCGUACCGAGCCCAGCGCUACACCAAAGCACCCCCGGACCAGACAGUGGAGGAACAUGGAGGCAGCUAAGCGUGACGGAGAGGGGAGCCAAUGAAACUGGAGGCCAGGGGACCUGAGCUCUCCUCCAGCGCUGCCUCCAGCUGCCUGCACAGUCCUGUGAAGGUCACCUGUCGACGCAGUCCCUUGAGUAACCGAAGCUGGGGGAGAGGGGAAUGAACAAUAAUAUACACUAGCAUUUGCAUGAAUUUGCAUCAAGUAGGUUACACAAAACCCAAAUGAGAGUCAAAUGAGAUCCCGAGUAUGGAAGGGGUAAAUGGAAAUUCUCCCCCAUUUCCUAUUUUGAACAGCCAGAUCCCAAAGCCCCAUUCCUACCAAGUUCCCCACAUUACCCCUGACCUGAGAGGUUGCUGCAGGAUGAAUAGGAGUUUGCUGGCAACAGGAAAGUUACUGCAGACAAGAGAAUGACAGGGUCAAAGGUAGAGACACAGGAACGAGCCCAGGGCGUUCAGAGAAGCAAAGAAGGCAAAGGGCUAAAUCAAUGUGGAAUCUCGGAUUGGACUCCAUGACAGGAAAAGGACAUUAGUAGAGAAAUGAGUGAAAUCUGAAUAAAAUCUGCACUUCAGUUAAUAGCACUCACCAGUGUUAACUUCUUAGUUCUGACAAAUAAACCAUGGUUUUUUUAAGAUGUUAACAUUAGGGGGAAGCCACAGUAUCUUUGCAGCUUUUCUGUAAACCUAAAAUUAUUCCAAAAUAAAAGAGUUAUUAAGAAAGAGAGAGGAGGAGUUCCCACUGUGGCUCAGCAGGUUAGGAACCUGACAUAGUGUCCAUGAGGAAGCAGGUUCAAUCCCUGGCCUUGCUCAGUGGGUUAAGGAUCCGGCGUUGCUCUGAACUGUGGUGUAGGUCACAGCUGAGGCUCAGAUCCUGCAUUACUGCGGCUGUGUCGAAGCCAGCAGCUACAGUUCCUAACCCAGGAACUUCCAUAUGCCGCAGGUAUGGCCAUAAAAAGGAAAAAAAAAAAAAAAAAAGAGAGAGAGAGAGAGAAAGAAUAAAGGACAAAAAGAAAAGUAGUACAAAACAGCUAAAGCAUAUAAGAUGCCAGAAGGGGCGAAUGGGUGAUGGGCAGCAGCAGAGGCCAGGUUGCCAGGGCUUCCUGUGCCACACCAUGGGGUCCAGACUCCACCUCUCUGCAGGCAAUGACUCCAUGGCAAUAUGCCUCCCUCUGGACCAUCCCGCAGGCCCCAGGGUGGACGCCAGCUACAGCUUCUUACUUUCAGCUUCAUCUUAACUACAUUCCACCUGCCCAUAUGUGCCUGAACCCACACAGAAAUAUCCCAGGGCUACACACACACACACACACACACACAAACACACACGCACACACUCCCCACCUAGGAGAAGGGCUGAGUCCAGCCCCUGAUCCUUCUCACGAAUCCAGAACCACUACCCAGAACAGAGGUCAGCAGCCACGGAAAGGGAGGCUGAGGGACAGGACCAAGGCACAAACUAACCUGUCAAUGGC
rnacentral:lncRNA from 1 species